CUGGGAUCAUGUGACCUAGGACAAGUGAGCUUUACGUGUAAACUUGAAGGCAGUGCAGAAAACAGCCGAGAAAGAAAUCACUGCUAUAGGCCGGGGAAGGCAUCACUCCAGCGCCUUGGAAUCUCACACCGCCCCGCUGAGUGAGUCCACCAUCAUCCAGACUCUGUCAGGAACUUGACAGGAGUGUGUCGUUCAGUCUGCUCUGAUAUCCCACAUUUCUCUUAUUACCAGUGAUACAUGUUGCUGAAAUUAUUGAAUAUGACACAAGUGUGUUCAUGUUCAUGUGUCAUCCCUACUGUCAGUUGUUAGAGCCACCUGGUCCUCUUUACUCUUAAUUAUAAAUAAUCAUUAUUUUUCAAAACACUAUUAUUAGUUGCAGUCCUUGUACUAUUGGCAGGGGUAGGUGAUGAUAAUACGUAUGAUUGCUUCAAACUCUAUUAAUGGUUAUAAAUUAUUAAUUGUUUGCUCGAGGAAAAUGGGAUUGCUCUCAUUUUUCAGUCUUGCCGUGCUGCACUUGUUGUUUAUUUGUAUUCGUGAUGGUGCAUGGACUGAAGUGACCACAGGAAAUACUACAGUCGUAAUCGGCUAUGAUAAAUGAAAUAAUGAAAGCACCCAUCUUAAUUAGCUUAUACAGGCAAUCGACAAAUAGGCAAUGUUCCUCUGACUCUCAUAGUUAUGAGUAAUUGCAGCUAACACUAACACUUUCACUUCAGUGACCUUAGAAGUUUAUGUUAUUAUGCUGUAACAGCAUUUGAUGAACAAUACUGACCUCUUCUGUUGAACCUGGAAAGUGCAGAUAAAUGUGGUUAUGAGAGGGC